rnacentral:rRNA from 1 species
ACACAUGCAAGUCGAACGGUNGNNGCCCGUUCGGGGGUACACGAGUGGCGAACGGGUGAGUAACACGUGGGUAAUCUGCCCUGCACUUCGGGAUAAGCCUGGGAAACUGGGUCUAAUACCGGAUAUGAACUCCUGCCGCAUGGUGGGGGUUGGAAAGUUUUUCGGUGCAGGAUGAGCCCGCGGCCUAUCAGCUUGUUGGUGGGGUAAUGGCCUACCAAGGCGACGACGGGUAGCCGGCCUGAGAGGGUGAUCGGCCACACUGGGACUGAGACACGGCCCAGACUCCUACGGGAGGCAGCAGUGGGGAAUAUUGCACAAUGGGCGAAAGCCUGAUGCAGCGACGCCGCGUGGGGGAUGACGGUCUUCGGAUUGUAAACCCCUUUCAGUAGGGACGAAGCGCAAGUGACGGUACCUGCAGAAGAAGCACCGGCUAACUACGUGCCAGCAGCCGCGGUAAUACGUAGGGUGCGAGCGUUGUCCGGAAUUACUGGGCGUAAAGAGCUCGUAGGCGGUUUGUCACGUCGUCUGUGAAAUCCCUCGGCUUAACCGGGGGCGUGCAGGCGAUACGGGCAGACUUGAGUACUACAGGGGAGACUGGAAUUCCUGGUGUA